rnacentral:rRNA from 1 species
UCGAGGAUCUUCGGCAAUGGGCGCAAGCCUGACCGAGCGACGCCGCGUGUGCGAUGAAGGCCUUCGGGUUGUAAAGCACUGUCGAGGGGGAGGAAAGCCCGCAAGGGUCUGACCUAUCCCUGGAGGAAGCACGGGCUAAGUUCGUGCCAGCAGCCGCGGUAAGACGAACCGUGCGAACGUUGUUCGGAUUCACUGGGCUUAAAGGGCGCGUAGGCGGGUUCUCAAGUCCGGGGUGAAAUCCUCUCGCUUAACGAGAGAACUGCCCCGGAUACUGGGGACCUCGAGGGAGGUAGGGGCAUGUGGAACUUCCGGUGGAGCGGUGAAAUGCGUAGAUAUCGGAAGGAACGCCGGUGGCGAAAGCGACGUGCUGGACCUUUUCUGACGCUGAGGCGCGAAAGCCAGGGGAGCAAACGG